CCUUUUAAGAAGUGACCUGAUUAUCAAGAGAGUAUACAGGUCACUCACGUGACUCGCUGGCCAGGGUUCUACAUCCUGCAGUGGCGUUACCAUGGCAGCGCGGCAGCGGCCUGCUCGAGCCUGAUUGGAUGACAUGCUGCAGGAUUCUCUACUACACCGGAGUGCCUACAGUCCCAAGACGUCAGCCAAUUACAGUCCAGCUACACCCUCUCCUCUCCGACCAAUCAGAUGCAGUAGGAGGUGGAGUGACAGCCAGUCAGGACUAUGGAAGACUGAUAGAAUCA